AUUCACAGGCUGAUAGUCUAGGAGAAAAAAAUGAAAGAGUAAAGAAUCAGACCAUUUGUAAGUGCCUAGAAAGAUGUUUACUUAAGAACAGCAAAACCAGGAUGAGCGUAUUUACAAGGUGAGACAUAAAAGCUUAGGUAUAUUCUAUCUUGACAUUUUUGAGGCAGAAACUCCAAAUGCCAUCCAGUCCUAACCACAGAAGACAAUCGUCAUGGGAAUUUUGAAAAGACAAGUUGAGCAAUAUGUUGGAACAAAUGAUGGUUUUCGGCCUCCCACAACACCAAAUCAUGGAAAGAUUUCAGAAGUUGUCUGUAUAAAUAAAAUAUGAAUAUCAAAGUUCAUAUUUCCCUUUCUGCAAGUAAUGUUUACCUUUGUUUAUGUGAAAAAUUGGAAAUCAAAAUGAGUUAAGAUUAGCUAUUUUUCCAUAGUAAUGUGUCUGAUUUUCAUUGUCAAUGACAGAGAAAGAAAGCGAAGUUCAAAAUAUGUUCAUUAUUUCAUUAAAAUCAACUACUCAGUCCCCUUCUCUUCUUAUUUUUCUUACCUAAAGCAAUUUGACCCUCUUGUUCAUAAUCCAGAUCUGUUUAACCUUCAGCUCAUGUAUCUCCCAUAUCCUUGACUGCUCUAACCUUCACUUCCAAACCAGAUCAAAAAAUCUUAGUUCAGAUUUUUCAUUUAUUUUAAGUUUAUAUGAAACAACAAUGUGACUUAACUUCAAAUAAAUGUCAGUAUCAUCUUAGACUGAAUUAAGAGAAGUAUAGGCCGAGUGUGGUGGCUCAUGCCUGUAAUCCCAGCACUUUGGCAGGCCAAGGCAGAUGGAUUGUUUGAGCCAAGGAAUUUGAGACCAGCCUGUGCAACAUGGCAAAACCCUGUCUUUACAAAAUAUACAAAAAUUAGCUGGGUGCAGUGGUGUGUGCCUGUAGUCCUAGCUACAGGAGGCUGAGGUGAAAGGAUUGCCUGUGCCUGGGAGGUUAGGGCUACAGUGAGCCAUGAUGGGGCCACUGAAAUUUAGCCUGGACAACAGAGGGAAUCCCAAGAAAGAAGAAAAAGAAGACGACGAAGACAAAAAUGAAGAGGAGGAGGAGGAGAGGAAGAAGGGAAAGAAGAAGAGGAAGAAGGAGAGUAGUCAAAAGAGAAAGGUGCUGCCUACUUCACUUUUUUUUUUUUUUUUUUUGAGACAGAGUCUCAACUGUCACCCAGGCUGGAGUGCAGGGGCGCAAUCUUGGCUCACGGCAACCUCCACCUCCCAAGUUCAAGCAAUUCUCCUGCCUCAGCCUCUCAAGUAGCUGGGACUGCAGGCGCCUGCCACCACACCCGGCUAAUUUUUGUAUUUUUUUAGUAGAGACCGAGUUUCACCAUGUUGCCCAGGGUGAUCUCAAACUCCUAAGCUCAGGCAAUCCAUCCUCCUUGGCCUCCCAAAGUGCUGGGAUUACAGGCAUGAGCCACCGCGCCUGGCCCCACUUUACUUUUACAAAAAAAAAGCCACAAAUCUAAAAUACUACAUAUUUAUGCCUCUUAAAAAUUUUAGGCAUUCAGUAUAAGUUGCCUAUUUCUUCUACUCCUGAGUUCAGAAGCAGUUGAAAAAUAAAACACAGAUCAAUAGACAGACAAGAGUUUAAACUGUCAGCUUUAUUAUUGAUAAACCAAUUGGAGAAAAUGACAUUAGAUCUGUGAACCAAAGAGCCUAUUAAUACUCUGUGACUGCCAACUCUCUCCUGUAUCCAAAUACACAUCCAAAGCCUCCCUCUGCACCCAAAGGAAAGUUUGGAGCUGUCUCUAGGGAGGAAAAUGGGAAGUUUACAGUCCUUUGAUAGAGUUGUUCUACCCCGUUAGCACCCCAUCACCACCUAGCAAUUAGGUAAUUAAUUUCUCUGCUGGAAGGAGUGUGUGAGGAGUGAGACUACAGGCCAAGAGUUGUAUUUCAAUGGAGGUCCUUCAACACAAAAACAUGAGACCAGGGAAAGGACUUUCCCUCCCAACAGUGCUCAAUUCUUUUUUUUUUUUUUUUUUUUUUUUUUUUGAGACGGAGUCUUGCUCUGUCACCCAGGUUGGAGUGCAGUGGCACGGUCCCUGCUCACUGCAACCUCCACCUCCUGGGUUCACGCCAUUCUCCUGCCUCAGCCUCCCGAGUAGCUGGGACUACAAGCGCCCGCCACCAUGCCCGGCUAAUUUUUUGUAUUUUUAGUAGAGACGGGUUUCACUGUAUUAGUCAGGAUGGUCUCAAUCUCCUGAUCUUGUGAUCCGCCCGCCUCAGCCUCCCAAAGUGCUGGGAUUACAGGCGUGAGCCACCGCACCCGGCCAACAGUGCUCAAUUCUAUGUCCCCUAUGCCAUCAGAUAAAAUUGGAGCAUGUUAACAGCAUGACCAGGACAGGGAGCUUUGAAGCCCUCUAUCAAGAAAAAUGGGUGCAAGGACAAGACUACGUGGACCUAACAACUUCCUUCCAACAAUCGAAUAGGUAGUCCAUUUGGUCUAUAUGGCCCUGUAGUGGAGACAUAUAACCUGUGUCCUCCCCUACAUUUCCUGCAUUCUGUUCAGUUAGGCAAAGCCGCCUGACUAGUCCUGGACAACAAAAUGUGAGCAGAAGUGACAUGUGUCACCUCCAGGCUAAGCCAAUGAAGGUCCACUCCUUAGUUCCAGUCUCUCCUCCCCUCCCUCUGCAGUAAGUGGGGAGGUCCCACAUUCCAGAUGGUACAGCUAUGCAAGUCAGGACCUCCACCAACCUAGGUCCCGAGUGAACAGAGAGAAGUUUAAGAGAGCAAAGUUAAGGCCAUGGAGAACAAUAAGAAAAGAAAGCUAUUGGCUGGGCGCGGUGGCUCACGCCUGUAAUCCCAGCACUUUGGGAGGCCGAGGCGGGCAGCUCACAAGGUCAGGAGAUCGAGACCAUCCUGGCUAACACGGUGAAAACCCAUCUCUACUAAAAAUACAAAAAAAUUAGCCGGGCGUGGUGGUGGGGACCUGUAAUCCCAGCUACUCGGGAGGCUGAGGCAGGAGAAUGGCAUGAACCCAGGAGGCAGAGCUUGCAAUGAGCUGAGAUCACGCCACUGCACUCCAGCCUGGGCGACACAGUGAGACUCCGUCUCAAAAAAAAAAAGAAAAGAAAGAAAGCUCUUGCCAAAGUGUAGAAUGAAUUCUGAAACCAGAAACAUUUUCCACCCCCAAAAUAGGAGGCCCAUAAAGUAUUUGCUCGGCAAGAUUUCUGAGUUGCUGCAGGCCUGAAUGCUGGGCCCCUCUCAUUCCUCACCACUGUGGAAGUGUUUCCUCACAUUGUCUUGAUCCUGUUCUACCACUGCACACUGCGGGUGAGGGAUGCAUUUUACCUGUCUUCUUAGUUUACUUGUCCCUGAAACAGGACUGGCCAUGUACAGACCUGACAUAGAGACUAUUGUGAGAUCACUCAGAGAUCCUGAAAUUGAAGCUCAAAGCCAUGAUUUGAUGUGGCUGUAAAUCGUCUCCCUUGCAAAGUGAGUCCUACUUUUGGAAACAGGAGAGCAAAGUUGUGUUGGCACCAGAGAGAGGACUACGGCAGUGACAAUGCUUACCAAACAUUGUGGUUAGGCAAGGCCAUGUAACUAGCUCUGACCUGUGGGCUGUGGGCAGUAGUGGCCCCAGUUAUCUUCUUCUGCGACCAACACAGGAGACUGAGGAAACCUUGUGCUGAGAUGGCAGAACCGCACGUGGAAACAUUCUACAUAAUUGUGUCACAGCAUGCAGCGCAAAGUUCCUGGAGAGUUACGUAGACCUACAGACUUUGCAUGAAAAAUCAAUUACUAUUAAGUUAGAACGCUAAGAUUUGGAGUUGCUUCUUACGGCAGCAUACUCCAGUCUAUCCUAUCUUAUCUAAACCUCAAGAAGCAAAAUUUUGAAGCUCUUCAGAGCUCAGUUUCAAUCUCAUUUUUCUUCUCACUGUGGGCUUCUCUUAGGCAAUUGUACAUCUGUCCUUCUUCAAUCUCCAUCAAGCCAUGUGUUUCCUACCCCAAUGCCUUUGCAUCUGCUAUUCUGUCCCAAAGUCCACUUCUCCUCACCUACCUGGGUACACUUCUAGACUACCUUUCCCAGACUCCCUUGCAGUUACUGUGGCCAAAGAAUGUACAAUUCCAGGCAGUGUGAUGUGAACAGAAGUAAUGUACACCACUCCCAGGCCUGCCCAUAAGAACACCCUCUACAUUCUCCCCCUUGCUCUUUCCCCUUUCCUAUUGGCUGCAAUGGAGACGACCACCAAUGCGGCAGUGUUGGACGUGUGCAGAAGAUGGCAGAUCUUCUGUCAGAAUGGAUCCCAGAACGUGGUCCCAGACUGUGUGAAGAAAAGUCACCCCAUCUUUCUGUCUUUUUCCAGUAUAGGUACCUGAGCAAAAAAUACACUUCCAUUGUGUUUAACCCAGGAUAUAUGUGGGGGCCUACUAUUAUAACAGCACGAUUUUAACCAAAACUUACACUUGCAGCAUUGAUCAACCAUACCACCACCACCAUGCACACACACACACACACACCCCUGCACUCUGCACUGCUCACACCCACUCAAUAUUCUAGGUCUGUGCAUUAAGAUGCAUCCCUGACUCUUCUCAUCCAGUCUAAUUUAAGUUGCUCUGUCAUUCUUUCUCUUUCCCUACUCUUUCUUGUCAUUUUACUUAUCACAAUGCAUAAUUACAUAUUAACCAGUGUGUUACUGAUUUAGAGUUUGUGUCCAAACAUUAAUUUUUGUGUUAUUUAUAUAAAGGUUGUGCCCAAAAUCAGAACCUUUUGCCUGCCACAAUAACAUACAUAGAGGCUAUGCAGUGCUUAGCACACAGUAGUUGCUUAACAAAUUUUAAAAUGUACAGGAUGAAUAUAUGAGAAGCCGCCAUUAAGAGGAUACAUGUUUUCAUCAUAAGACCACAAUGCCAGACCAAAAAUCUUAGAGAACUGAAAUACAUGCACUGGGGAUUUUUUUUUAACCUUUAUUCAUUCAGAAUGCAAUUCUGGGCCACUCUACAACCAAGAGAAAACCCUAA
rnacentral:lncRNA from 1 species